GACGAACGCUGGCGGCGUGGAUUAGGCAUGCAAGUCGAACGGUAUCAUCCUUUCGGGGGUGAGAGAGUGGCGAACUGGUGAGUAACACGUAGGUUAUCUACCCUCAAGACGGGGACAACCCAGGGAAACUUGGGCUAAUACCGGAUGUGAGCAACUUUUAGUUGUUUGAAAGGUGGCGUAAGCUGUCGCUUGGGGAUGAGCCUGCGUCCUAUUAGUUAGUUGGUGAGGUAACGGCUCACCUAGGCAAUGAUAGGUAGGCGGCCUUAACGGGUGGUCGCCCACACUGGGAUUGAGAUACGGCCCAGACUCCUACGGGAGGCAGCAGUCGAGAAUAGUCUACAAUGGUCGGAAGACUGAUAGUGCGACGCCGCGUGAACGAUGAAUCCCUUCGGGGUGUAAAGUUCUUUUAUAUGUGAGCAGUGCUUCUUAUAUUAACAGUAUGGGGAGAGAGAUAUUAGCAUAUGAAUAAGCAACGGCUAACUCCGUAGCCAGCAGCCGCGGUAAACU
rnacentral:rRNA from 1 species